rnacentral:rRNA from 1 species
UGGCUCAGGAUGAACGCUAGCGGCAGGCUUAAUACAUGCAAGUCGAGGGGCAGCAUGGUGUAGCAAUACACUGAUGGCGACCGGCAAACGGGUGCGGAACACGUACAGAACCUUCCUUCGAGCGGGGAAUAGCCCAGAGAAAUUUGGAUUAAUACCCCAUAGUAUAUUGGAGUGGCAUCACUUUAGUAUUAAAGAUUUAUCACUUGAAGAUGGCUGUGCGGCUGAUUAGGUAGUUGGCGGGGUAACGGCCCACCAAGCCUGCGAUCAGUAACUGGUGUGAGAGCACGACCAGUCACACGGGCACUGAGACACGGGCCCGACUCCUACGGGAGGCAGCAGUAAGGAAUAUUGGUCAAUGGACGAAAGUCUGAACCAGCCAUGCCGCGUGGAGGAUGAAGGUCCUCUGGAUUGUAAACUUCUUUUAUAUGGGACGAAAAAGGGCUUUCUAGCUCGUCUGACGGUACCAUAUGAAUAAGCACCGGCUAACUCCGUG